CAUCAUCUGGGGGAUAGUGCCCAGAGGAGGCUGGGGGACCAUCACCACUGCCACUGCCACUUCCCUCAUACCCUACUGUGGCAUCGUCACCGACAGUCUCUUCAUUCUGUCUGUUGCUGGUCUUCAGCCAAGUCUCUGAAAGCAAUGGUAGCCUGACAUCAUUCAAAAUCAACUUUAUCAACAAAACUGCCUGACUGAGACACAUUCAGGUCUUACCUUCUCAGAGAUAUCUACACCGGACUCUUGAAAAUUCAUGAUUGCAUCUGAGAUUUUGUAAUUUACUGGCUGGACAACAUUAUCAAUGUUGAAGGGAUUCUCUAACCUUUCCCCAACUUUAACCAUGGCAUCUGAAACGGGGAAAAAAAAAAAAUAAAUAAAUAAAACAUCAAAUACCUUUUCCAGCCAAAGGUAAAACUGUUAUAAUAAAGGGCUGGAUUCUACAAGAAAUUUUAAUAAGUUCCUUCUUUAACAUCUAACUGAUCCUUGUGGUUUAAGAUUGUGGAAUUGCAGUGUAAUAACAUCAUUUUUGUGAUUGGCAGUCUUGCCCAGUUCUCAACAAGAAAACAAACUUGUAACUAAGAACUCAUAAAAUCCUUAUCUGCAUCUUGGUCAUGCUGAAAAGAUGAUAGAGUGACUGAAAGAAGGCCUGGUAAGCUGCCAUGAGAUGAAAAGAGUAUGUAGUUUCUCAAAAUGGUGUCAUUUAUAAAUUACCCUACCAAAUAAAUAAAACUGCACUGAU